rnacentral:lncRNA from 1 species
UUUUUUGGACAAAAAAUUAAUAUAUUUUUACAUUUACGAUAGCUAUUAAUUUGGGAUCUGCAAUGGUAAGGCGCCUACACUUAGCAAAUUAACGCGGCUAAAAUUUUAAUUUUUCCCGCGAUACGAAACAUAGCGUUUUAAAAACAGAAACGCUAUUAGAAAAGCCAACGUUGGUAUAUAAUAGCAUAACUGUUUUAAACGCUAUCCUAUGAUGCUAUUAAUACCCACAUUUCCUGUAGUGUCCAUGAAACCAAUGAGUCACCAACAAACAUCGCAUAACCAGUUACUGAUCAUCUAGGUACAGCCUCCCCAAU